GCCUAGAAUGCCAAAGCGGAACUGGUUGGACUUCUAAUCCAAAGGACGUAGGUUCGAAUCCCACCUGGGAU